CCUUUACUGACGCUAAAGCUCGAAGGUGCGGGUAUCGAACAGGAUUAGAUACCCUGGUAGUCCGCACGGUAAACGAUGGAUGCCCGCUGUUUGCGAUAUAGUGUGAGCGGGCCAAGAGAAAUCGUUAAGCAUCCCACCUGGGGAGUACGCCGGCAACGGUGAAACUCAAAGGAAUUGACGGGGGCCCGCACAAGCGGAGGAACAUGUGGUUUAAUUCGAUGAUACGCGAGGAACCUUACCCGGGCUUGAACUGCAGCGGAAGGAAGCAGAGAUGUUGACGUCCUUCGGGACCGCUGUGGAGGUGCUGCAUGGUUGUCGUCAGCUCGUGCCGUGAGGUGUCGGCUUAAGUGCCAUAACGAGCGCAACCCCUUUCAUUAGUUGCCAUCACUUCGGGUGGGCACUCUGGUGAUACUGCCACCGUAAGGUGUGAGGAAGGUGGGGAUGACGUCAAAUCAGCACGGCCCUUACGUCCGGGGCUACACACGUGUUACAAUGGGUGAUACAGAAGGCGGGUGCAUGGCAAUGUGCAUCAAAUCUUAAAAGUCAUCCUCAGUUCGGAUUGGGGUCUGCAACCCGACCCCAUGAAGCUGGAUUCGCUAG
rnacentral:rRNA from 1 species